rnacentral:rRNA from 1 species
UACGUAGGGGGCAAGCGUUAUCCGGAUUUACUGGGUGUAAAGGGAGCGUAGACGGCGAUGCAAGCCAGAUGUGAAAGCCCGCGGCUCAACUGCGGUAGUGCAUUUGGAACUGUAUGGCUGGAGUACAGUAGAGGUGGGCGGAAUUCGUGGUGUAGCGGUGAAAUGCUUAGAUAUCACGAAGAACUCCGAUUGCGAAGGCAGCUCACUGGACUGCAACUGACACUGAGGCUCGAAAGUGUGGGUAUCAAACAGG